GCGCCUGUAGCUCAGGUGGAUAGAGCGUUGGCCUCCGAAGCCAAAGGCCAGAGGUUCGAAUCCUCUCAGGCGCACCA
rnacentral:tRNA from 1 species